rnacentral:rRNA from 1 species
AAGGUAGCAUAAUAAAUUGACUUUUAAUUGAGGUCUAGAAUGAAAGGAUAUAUGGAUAUAAGCUGUCUUAAUUAAUUAUUUUUAAAUUACUUAAAAGGUGAAAAUUCCUUUUUUUUUUAAUAGACGAGAAGACCCUAGGAGUUUUUUUGUUGGGGCAACAUUAUAGCAUUAUACCUAUAUAAUAGAUUUAUUUAUUACGAUAAUAUUAAUUUUAAAUAAACUACCCUAGGGAUAACAGCAUAAAGUUUGUGACCUCGAUGUUGGACUAGGAAUUUUAAUAUUAGCUAUAUUAUUCGAUUGUUCUGUUCGAACAUUAUUACCU